CGCUUAUCAUCAUGUUAUUACUCAAAUUAUUGAAUCUCAUUUUGUCUCUGAUAAUUUUUUGCUUUAUCAUGAAAAAUAGCACCCCCCCUGCACCCCUCCUGGCCAGGGAGGAAUUGUGAAUUUUUAGGGAUUUUUGUGAAUUUUUAUAAAGAAUGACAAUAUAGAUAUACGUUUGUUGGUUUAAAAAAGCAUUUUUACACACAUGCGGUACACUGUAAUAUACCAAUAAAUUAAAUAUCAUUUGUAUAUAUUAAACAUAAGUUUUCUUUUUAAUAAGUUAAACAUUUUGUACGAGUCUAUAUCCAAUAUGUUACACUUUCAGCCCCUGACGUAAAAACUUGCAUUAUUUUUGAAUGAUCUGAUGCAGAUAUUACUUUCAGAUCUAUUCGGACACUGAAGACCACAACAAAAAAUUCGACACUGUUUGAUUUCAUGUAACGUGAAAUCUAUAAAAGCUAUUGCAAUGAAGUAAAGAUCAUUGCAUUCAGAAAGGACUAACUUAGAUUUUGAUAUAUAGCGCUUGAAUUUACAUGCAAUAUUGACUGCGCUAUUGAUGUCUGAACGUUGAUCUAAUGUUUUUGAAAAUGCCAAAAAUUAGCAUAAAACAACCUUAUAAAUACCGAUGUAGUUAUACUUGUUAAAUAAUAUUUUUAUUUUGGUUGUCUCUCGUUCAAUAUUGCAUGUAAAUUCAAGUGUUAUAUAUCAAAAUCUAAGUUGGUCCUUUCUGAAUGCAAUGAUCAGGCUAUUAGCCAGAAGGGCGUCCAGGCGUCCUGGGACGCCCCUAGAACGAAAAAUGGACGCCUUUGGACGCCCAAAUUCUUGGAGAAAAGGGAAAUUAUUUUCAAUUAUUUCCCUAAGCAUAUUAAUAUAUCUGAAUCGAAAUAGCUUCAAUUCUCAUUGUUAUUAUUAUACAUUUGACAUUUUUAUCAAUUUGAUGGUGUACCUGGCUGAAUGAAAAUGUCGUAGUUAAGUAAAGAAGCAUAGCGGCACAAACUCACAAAGCCAAGUGUGUUUUAUAAAUUUCGAACGAGCUUGGAACAGAUACUGACAUGAAGUAACGUAAACUUCAAAGGCUUUCCAGAUGAAUGUUUUCUCGAACCCCCCCCCCCCCCCCCCCC